CGCAUCCUUCGGGAUGAGCGGCGGACGGGUGAGUAACGCGUGGGAAUAUGCCCUUCUCUAAGGAAUAGCCUCGGGAAACUGAGAGUAAUACCUUAUACGCCCUUCGGGGGAAAGAUUUAUCGGAGAAGGAUUAGCCCGCGUUAGAUUAGGUAGUUGGUGGGGUAAUGGCCUACCAAGCCUACGAUCUAUAGCUGGUUUGAGAGGAUGAUCAGCCACACUGGGACUGAGACACGGCCCAGACUCCUACGGGAGGCAGCAGUAGGGAAUCUUAGACAAUGGGGGAAACCCUGAUCUAGCCAUGCCGCGUGUGUGAUGAAGGCCUUAGGGUCGUAAAGCACUUUCGCCAGAGAUGAUAAUGACAGUAUCUGGUAAAGAAACCCCGGCUAACUCCGUGCCGGCAGCCGCGGUAAUACGGAGGGGGUUAGCGUUGUUCGGAAUUACUGGGCGUAAAGCGCACGUAGGCGGAUUAGUAAGUUA
rnacentral:rRNA from 1 species